GGGCUGGCUCUAGCUCAGUGGUUCCUUCGGUAAAACAUCAGCUUUCAACUUCCUUGCAGAGAUGGUUCAAGACCUGCUAGUGUGCUCUAGUCCUUUU
ensembl:misc_RNA Vault Vault RNA